GCGGCUGCAGUGCUUCCAUCCUCAGCUGAGGGGGAAGCAGAGAUACAGGCAGCACCGAGCUGUUCAGCUCCUUGUCACUCAGGACCCCACAGGAGAGGAGGAGGCCCCGGGCAUUCCUAGGAAGCUGUGGGUGCUGACCUCUGUCUUCCCACCUCAGAAAGCUCCCAUGUAGUGUCAAAACCAAAGCAAGCGUCUGAUGGAUGGGCCUCAUUUGUCCGAUGGUGAAGGGGUGUGAGGAGGUCUGGUGAGGCAGCGGGGAAGUUCGAAUUCUGACUCUCCUGGCUGCCCUCCCUCCACAGCUCACCAUCAACGAGGCUGCUGCCCAGUUCUGCAUGAGGGACAACACGCUCUUAUUACGGAGAGUGGAGCUCUUCUCUUUGUCCCGCCAAGUAGCCCGAGAGAGCACCUACUUGUCCUCCUUGAAGGGCUCCAGGCUUCACCCUGAAGAACUGGGAGGCCCUCCACUGAAGAAGCUGAAACAAGAGGUUGGAGAACAGAGUCACCCUGAAAUCCAGCAGCCUCCCCCAGGCCCUGAGUCCUAUGUACCCCCAUACCGCCCCAGCCUGGAG
rnacentral:sRNA from 1 species